ACUGUCGAUGGGAAUGCAAAUUGGUAUGGCCAUUAUGGAAAACAGUACAGAGGUUCCUCAACAUUAAAAAUAGAAUCACCAUGUGAUCCAGCAAUACCAUUUCUGGGUAUUUAUUCAAGUCCAAUUCUCAUCCUGGGCUUUAGUUUCUAAGCAUGAUGAAUGUUAAAUGCAUGUGAUGGGCCAGAAUUGCAAUUCUACAAUCUAUGUGAACGAUGCCAAACAAACUCUAAAGUAUGUCAUGUCUAUAGUAAACACAAUUCUGUUCCCAUUGCUCUUGCAAGGUUAUAAGCACAAGAGCACCAGGUAAAAUCACAGAACAGGCGUUUCCAGGUGCCACGCCCACUAUACAAAGUGAGAUGGCUGUAAUAUUUAUGGCUGAGGUCCUGGUGGGGAGCCUGUGGAGAAAUGCUUCUCCCAGAAUAACACUGUGGGCACACAGUUGUGCUUAAUGACCACUGAUGGGUCGUGAUGGGCCCUUCUGUCAUCAUCACAAUACAUGUUAAGGGAGGCUUCCGGUUUGUGAGCCUUGCUAGUGUGCAGGGCUACUUUGCUUCUGAUGAGCGCUUGUCUCUGAGGCAUCUGCAGAGCUUGGUGAUCUGCCCAGGAAUGAGCUCAUACAUUCUGCAGAUUCCAGGGAACAGACAAGAGCAACAGCAUUGAAAGAACCAAGCGAAGGUACCGGCUAGAGUCUCUGAUUCUGGGCCAGCCCUCCUGCAGUGUGGCCUGGGCAGUGGAUGUCCCCACCAAUGGACACAGCUAUCUUUAAUUUCAAACUUAACCCUGAGUGCACAGGACCUGAACUUUUGUCCUUGGAGGAGGUAAAGCCAAACUCUGGCUAAAGAUUGAGAAAUUCACAAUAAAGAAUCCCAGAUAUGAUUUUUUCCCCCUCAUUUGAACUUUCAAACAUGGUCAUAAAUCAUCCUGGAUUUUUCUUCCACAGUCUGCCCUCUUCUGGGAAGGUUUUAAGAUGGGGCGGGAUUGUGAGCGGAUGCUUCCUUACUAUAGAGAUUGGAUGGCUGGGAUAACUGGGAUCCGGGGUUCAUGGGGCCUAUAGUCCAAAGUACAUUUUACCUAAGCUCAGGGCUGUGACCUGGGGUGGGGGUACUUUCCUCUUUCUUGCCUUGCUGAUUAUCCAUUCUCCUCAGGUGCAGGACCCUGAAGAAGGCAUCCAUGUCCAAUUAUGAGCAUGCACUAUUAUCUCAUUAGUAAGCACACAAGUCACCCAGGCAUCUUUGAACCAGCAGUUCCUUCCCGAGUCAACAGGUCUGGGGCGAGGCCUGGGACCGCAUGUCUAACCAACUGUCAGGGGAUGCUGAUGUUGCUCCAGGGACUACAAACUGCAUAAGAAGGGCCCAGGGGAUCAUGCAUAGAGUGAUGUUUUGACAAGGCGAAGAAAUGCGUCUUGGCUGAAGGCCCAUGUUUUGUCCCAGCACAUCCUUUUUACCAAAAGAGCCAUCCCUGGAGCUGCCAAGAGUGUUUUCGAGAAAGCCAUCCAACAGUACUUUGGAUGUGGGAGCAUGACCUGACCGUAGACGUGGCCUUCCCCAUGCCAUGAACCAUCCGUCAGACAGCCUGGCACAUACUGUUGGUGUCUUUAUUUUUACCCCCAAAUGUAAAGCUGGAUUCUUUCAUUCUUUUUUUUCUUUUUUCCAGCUGGGAAAACUCCUGUCAGUGGAUGCAGUGUCCUUUCCAGAUUCAAUAUUAUGCAAACUGCAUAUCGGCAAAUGGAGUAAACAAAUAUGUCCAUGAAGUUUCUGGAUGCACAGAGAGAGGGGCUGUACCAAUACACAGGCACAGACCUCCCGAUAUGCAUGGGAAUGGCUGAGCACCCUUGGCCAGCCCCAUGGCCAUCUCCACUGCCAUCUCUCUCCUCUGCAACAUGUUUGAGCACCUGAGAUAGUAGGCCAUUCUGCUGCCCAGCAGCAGAGGACAAGAGGUGGCACACACAUCUAGGGGUGGCUGUAGGUUAAAUUGGAGCUGUCAAUGGCUGGGUCUGGGGGGUCCUUUCAGGGAAUGAGGGUGAAGUUGCCCCAGCCAGUCCUGUACCUGCUCUAGGCCUGACCCUCUCCCCUUCAGCCCCACCCACAGCUAUCAGGCUCCUCAACCACAGGCAAGGCUGUGGGCAUUUGUGCUUUUCAGCUCUGUCUUCCCUGCCUGUCAGGUAUGGACAGGAGGCAUUACCCAUACUGAGUCUUCCUGGUAGAGAGAAUUUGGCCCAGUCCCUUUCUCAUCACAGACUUCAAUUUCCAGGCACAGGGAGAGUUAAAGUGUGUGUGACGGACCAAGGCUGGCUUUAGUCCUGCAGUUCUGCAAAGUGUAGGACACUUCUGCACUGUGCUGAUCCCAACAUGCUCCUAUUGCAAUAACCCUGGGAGAUUAAGUACUUUUUAAAAAUUUCCCUUCUAAGCAGAUGAGAAAACAGAUUUAAAAGGAUAAGAGUGGGUUUUUUUGAAAGGCGGGCAGCAAAUAAUUGGCAAAGCUAGCGUUUAGACCUGGGGCUGUCUUUUAACACAAAUCUCAUACUUACUUUUUGCAAAAUGGUACCAUGUUUCCCCAAACACCCCUGCAUUCAGAAAACAAACUAACAAACAAACAAACCAAAAAGGGUCAAGGACGUCUAAAAGGUCCAUCUUCAAAGCCUGAAAUGAAAUGUUUAUCUAUCUGUCCUCCACAUUCCACCUCUUCUACCCUGGCUGGCUUGACAGAUUUUUCUUGCAGCUUCGGUCCCCUUUGUUUGUGACAGGGGAUCUGCCUGCUUUCUUACAUGUUUGUUUCUAUGGACAGAUAGAAAUCAGCAUGUCCUCUGCUGGUCUAUGGUGGGGCAACAGGGCCUUCUCACCAUCACCUACCUUGUGGGAUCUGGCUUUGCAGAAGCUGUCACUCAAGUAGACUGGCUUCAGUCACUAUCAAACAUAUUGGAAGUCUCAGAAUUAAGGAAACAAAUAUUUGCAGCCAUGCUAGUUGGGCUCCUGAUAAAUAGGCAUGUUUGUCUUUAUUGUUUUGGAAGCGUGAUGAAUUCUGAGAUGUCAAGAGAAAAUGUCCCCAGACUCAAUUUCACAUCCCAAUCAGUGUCCUGUCCCUGGCGCCCAAGGUGUGUGUUGCAGAGCAGAUGGUUGUGUUGUGGGGAGACAAGACUGAGAUGAAGAUGCAUAACCCCCUUGCAUGGGCAGCUCUGAAGAGUCUCCAGCAGCUCUCGCAGGGGAAAUGCUGGGAUGGGAGGUUAGUUAGGCCACAGGAGGAACAACUGAGGCCAAAGCUCUAUGUGUUUAGUGGAUAGACAUCUUAUUGUGGAGGCUAUUGAUGAAUUGGAUAUCUGUGAUCUGAUUUUUAGCACCUAGCAUGUAUUUGAUAUUUCAUAUAGGUCUUUGAUUAUUAAAUUGUAAGUAAUUUUAGAUCUUUCCCCUUUCCAGAAUUUCACCAACUCCAUUCUUUUUGAAAGUGGAGACAUCAAUCAACUAAAAUAUUCUUUGGCCAAUCACUGUGCCCACUCGAUGUUCAGAUCCAAAGCCAAUAAAAUCUUUCAAGAAUACCCCA